rnacentral:rRNA from 1 species
UUAAAUUGAAGAGUUUGAUCAUGGCUCAGAUUGAACGCUGGCGGCAGGCCUAACACAUGCAAGUCGAACGGUAACAGAAAGCAGCUUGCUGCUUUGCUGACGAGUGGCGGACGGGUGAGUAAUGUCUGGGAAACUGCCUGAUGGAGGGGGAUAACUACUGGAAACGGUGGCUAAUACCGCAUAACGUCGCAAGACCAAAGAGGGGGACCUUCGGGCCUCUUGCCAUCAGAUGUGCCCAGAUGGGAUUAGCUUGUUGGUGAGGUAACGGCUCACCAAGGCGACGAUCCCUAGCUGGUCUGAGAGGAUGACCAGCCACACUGGAACUGAGACACGGUCCAGACUCCUACGGGAGGCAGCAGUGGGGAAUAUUGCACAAUGGGCGCAAGCCUGAUGCAGCCAUGCCGCGUGUAUGAAGAAGGCCUUCGGGUUGUAAAGUACUUUCAGCGGGGAGGAAGGUGUUGUGGUUAAUAACCGCAGCAAUUGACGUUACCCGCAGAAGAAGCACCGGCUAACUCCGUGCCAGCAGCCGCGGUAAUACGGAGGGUGCAAGCGUUAAUCGGAAUUACUGGGCGUAAAGCGCACGCAGGCGGUCUGUCAAGUCGGAUGUGAAAUCCCCGGGCUCAACCUGGGAACUGCAUUCGAAACUGGCAGGCUUGAGUCUUGUAGAGGGGGGUAGAAUUCCAGGUGUAGCGGUGAAAUGCGUAGAGAUCUGGAGGAAUACCGGUGGCGAAGGCGGCCCCCUGGACAAAGACUGACGCUCAGGUGCGAAAGCGUGGGGAGCAAACAGGAUUAGAUACCCUGGUAGUCCACGCCGUAAACGAUGUCUACUUGGAGGUUGUGCCCUUGAGGCGUGGCUUCCGGAGCUAACGCGUUAAGUAGACCGCCUGGGGAGUACGGCCGCAAGGUUAAAACUCAAAUGAAUUGACGGGGGCCCGCACAAGCGGUGGAGCAUGUGGUUUAAUUCGAUGCAACGCGAAGAACCUUACCUGGUCUUGACAUCCACGGAAGUUUUCAGAGAUGAGAAGGUGCCUUCGGGAACCGUGAGACAGGUGCUGCAUGGCUGUCGUCAGCUCGUGUUGUGAAAUGUUGGGUUAAGUCCCGCAACGAGCGCAACCCUUAUCCUUUGUUGCCAGCGGUCCGGCCGGGAACUCAAAGGAGACUGCCAGUGAUAAACUGGAGGAAGGUGGGGAUGACGUCAAGUCAUCAUGGCCCUUACGACCAGGGCUACACACGUGCUACAAUGGCGCAUACAAAGAGAAGCGACCUCGCGAGAGCAAGCGGACCUCAUAAAGUGCGUCGUAGUCCGGAUUGGAGUCUGCAACUCGACUCCAUGAAGUCGGAAUCGCUAGUAAUCGUGGAUCAGAAUGCCACGGUGAAUACGUUCCCGGGCCUUGUACACACCGCCCGUCACACCAUGGGAGUGGGUUGCAAAAGAAGUAGGUAGCUUAACCUUCGGGAGGGCGCUUACCACUUUGUGAUUCAUGACUGGGGUGAAGUCGUAACAAGGUAACCGUAGGGGAACCUGCGGUUGGAUCACCUCCUUACCU